CUUCUUUUUUGGGCAUUAGAUGUGUAGAUUGCCACACGAGGCCGCAGGCCGAGUGCGACAAUACACAUCGUAUGCC